rnacentral:rRNA from 1 species
UACGAGGGGGGCGAGCGUUGUUCGGAAUUAUUGGGCGUAAAGGGUGCGUAGGCGGUUCCGCAAGUCCUGUGUGAAAUCUUCGGGCUCAACUCGAAGUCUGCACGGGAAACUGCGGGGCUUGAGUGUGGGAGAGGUGAGUGGAAUUCCCGGUGUAGCGGUGAAAUGCGUAGAUAUCGAGAGGAACACCAGUGGCGAAGGCGAGUCCCUGGACACUUCCUGACACUGAGGCACGAAAGCUAGGGGAGCAAACAGG